ACAGCACUACAGAAGCAUCCAGCAAUUUGGGAGCUGUUUUGGGACUGCUAAUUCAACCUUAUAAGAUUAACUCUUUAAAGACCUCCAGCUACCUUGCAAGAUAAGUAAAGGAGGGGAGGGAAUGGAGAGAAGCCAGGGUCCCCUCUUUUAGUUCAAGUUUAACACUAGACAGUGAGUUUAAGGUGGCUACCAUAGACCAAAACUACAGCUAAAAGGACAUCAAUGCUCAUGGGGAAGUAGGAGGAGAGAAAAGGAAUUCAAAUAGUCCAACAAAUCGUAAAUAUUUUUUUAAACAAACAAAAAUCUUCCACAACACAUUCAAAAUGUUUUUUUCAAUCUGUUCCCUAGUACUUAUCUUAUCCUUCUACUAAAGAUAAUUUUUCUCAGGGGAAGUAUACAUUGCAUACCCUCUUGAAACACCUGGGAUUUAAAAUGUGUUUAAAAAUGAAACCUAAAAUUAAGAGACAAGAAGAAAAAGAAGACAUGCCAGGAUGCACAAGAUGAUUACUAUAUUAAGCAAGACUCUACAACACUCUACUCUGUGAGAAAUUCUCUACUACACGACAAACAGAUCAACAGAGACGUGUACCAAGCUUUAGAAAAGACUAAUAUAUCCUACAAUCAACUGAGCCGUGUUUAAAGCAAUAAAACCAGCAGCGC